CGGCUGCUGACUCUGUAUAUUUAGGUGGAGCGCGGAACACAGCUGGCCUAACGCAUGGGGCUGGCGUGUAUCGCAGGGAUCGGCUGCAGCGGGUGACUGUGGGGAGUUUGAACAUGAUGGGAGGUCUUCGAAAGCAAAUUCCUUUGUAAACAAGACACAGGUAGACACUGGAUUUGCAGAAAGACUGAUCCAUCUAUACUGGAUCCGACAGGAAUGGCCCAGCACUCUUAUGUUCCUUGUGACAGAUGCCCGAGGAGCCAUUGAGGAAACGGGAGCUGACUUCAUUGUAAGCUGAUGAAAG
ensembl:lncRNA